UCCUCGCUGGCUGUGUGUUUACAGAAUAAUCCUAGGAUCUAAGCUCUGCUCCAGAGACUGACUGGCAGAAGCCUUUACUACCACUGAGCUAAAAUACUUCUAAAUGUUCUGCCGCUUUCUCCUUGGGCCCCGUAGUCCUGGUGACAGACUGCCCAGGGUGCACAGAUUGGAGCCUUUUAGGAACGUGCUCCUUGGGAAAAGGUUUCACUGACCUGCCACCAGCCUCUGAUGUGUGCAUGGUGGUGAGCUAAUGGGUUAGAUUAGGAAGCUGUUAAUGAAGCCAAACUCGGAUCUGGAGGAUUUCACAUGUGAACUGGAAGAUGAACUCUCAAGGAAGCAUCCAAAUCCUUUCUCCAGAGUAAAGGGUGCCCUGAGGGCUCUUAUGAACUGACAUCUCUUUUGCCCUGUAGCCCUGGCUUUCUUCUGUGUCCUUACUGCCUCUGCAGUGCCCAUUGCCUCUGAGGAUGGAUGGCAACUUCUGCAGCCCUAACCUGAACAUAGRGCCUGAUCCAAAACCCGGAGGAGUCAGUGGAAAGCUGGGCUUGAGCACAGCACAAACCAACACACGUUUAUUAUGCUCCCCUCCUGCCUGUCGGUCCUCUCCCCACACAGCACCUAAAUAUGCAAGAAUUCUGGUUUCCAACCACUGGCUGAACGAAGAUGCAGCCACGAGACAGAGGAGAGACGGGAAGAUACGCUCACACCCCUCCCUGAGCUGAAAUGGCUGAAUGGUUUCAGUUGAAAUUUAAACCAAAAAAGCAAACAAAACCCCAAAGCAAACCAGACCAUGGCAGACCCUUGACGUGGAAAGUUUCAACCCAAGCGAUGAAAGCCUGGCAAAGAUCUCAGCAAGCCUUAACAGCAGGCAGACCUACAACCCUGCAGCAUCCACGGCAAUACCUGGGGUUUACUCAAGACGGCUGCAGUGACCUCAUGCUAUUUUGCAACUAAAGAAAGUGAUGUGAGACAGUGAUAUUAAAGG
rnacentral:lncRNA from 1 species